AUACGGGGGGUGCAAGCGUUAAUCGGAAUUACUGGGCGUAAAGCGUACGUAGGCGGUUCGUUAAGUUAGAUGUGAAAGCCCCGGGCUUAACCUGGGAACUGCAUUUAAAACUGGCGAACUAGAGUUGAGUAGAGGGGAGUGGAAUUUCAGGUGUAGCGGUGAAAUGCGUAGAGAUCCGAAGGAACACCAGUGGCGAAGGCGACUCCCUGGACUCGAACUGACGCUGAGGUACGAAAGCGUGGGUAGCAAACGGGAUUAGAUACCCUAGUAGUCC
rnacentral:rRNA from 1 species